UACAGAGGUCCCAAGCGUUGUUCGGACUCACUGGGCGUAAAGGGUGCGUAGGCGGUCGGGUAAGUCUGACGUGAAAUCUUCAAGCUCAACUUGGAAACUGCGUCGGAUACUAUUCGGCUAGAGGAAUGGAGGGGAGACUGGAAUACUUGGUGUAGCAGUGAAAUGCGUAGAUAUCAAGUGGAACACCAGUGGCGAAGGCGAGUCUCUGGACAUUUCCUGACGCUGAGGCACGAAAGCCAGGGGAGCAAACGGG
rnacentral:rRNA from 1 species